CCGUCGAGGCCGCCAGCCCCUCCCCCAGCAUGUUUGGGCUAAGCCGCCUCCUUUCCGCCUGCGUUGGAGAGAGAGGUACCAGAAGGAAUGAAAGGACUGGGGCUUGUCUCCAUGGCAACUGAAAGAAAGAGAGAAAAAUUGGUCACCUCCAGGACUGAGACCCUGACCCUUCCAAGCAUCCCCACUACCAAAGGCUGCCCAAGCCCGGAAGGAUCCCAUCCCGUUCUGUACUCUGAGGUCACUUCCUCACUCCGUCAAAUUUCACUGGACUGUGGGCUAAUUAAAAGUGCCUCCGUAUUAGCGGGGCGUGGUGGCCCAUGCCUAUAAUCCCAGCUACUUGGGAAGCUGAGGCAGGAAAAUUGCUUGAACCCGGGUGGCGGAGGCUGCAGUGACCCAACAUUGUGCAACAAGAGCGAAACUCCGUCUCAAAAAAAAUAAAAAGGUGGUUUUUAUUUCCACAUCUCCAACAGGGAGUCUGGAAACAAACUGACAAUACUCGUGAAAUCAACACCCAGAUGAGGU
rnacentral:lncRNA from 1 species